rnacentral:misc_RNA from 1 species
GAUGAAGAACGCAGCGAAAUGCGAUAAGUAAUGUGAAUUGCAGAAUUCAGUGAAUCAUCGAAUCUUUGAACGCACAUUGCGCCCCUUGGUAUUCCGGGGGGCAUGCCUGUUCGAGCGUCAUUAUAACCCCUCAAGCUCAGCUUGGUGUUGGGGCCUGCCAACUGGCAGCCCUUAAAAUCAGUGGCGGCGCCAUCUGGCUCUAAGCGUAGUAAUUUCUCUCGCUAUAGGGUCCCGGUGGAUGCUGGCCAACAACCCCCAAUUUUCUAUGGUUGACCUCGGAUCAGGUAGGGAUACCCGCUGAACUUAAGCAUAUCAAUAAGCGGAGGA